rnacentral:rRNA from 1 species
GGCGCGUGAGCGAUCCGGUGGAGAGAUCACUAGCGAGAAUGAUGACAUGAGUAGCGACAAAGAGUGUGAGAGACACUCUCGCCGAAAGUCCAAGGGUUCCUGCUUAAAGCUAAUCUGAGCAGGGUAAGCCGACCCCUAAGGCGAGGCCGAAAGGCGUAGUCGAUGGGAAUCAGGUUAAUAUUCCUGAGCCAGAUGGAAGUGACGGAUUGCGAAGGUUGUUCAUCCUUAUCGGAUUGAAUGGGCAGCUUGGCAGUCCCUGGAAAUAGCUCCAUCAUAAGAUCGUACCCUAAACCAACACAGGUGGACUGGUAGAGAAUACCAAGGCGCUUGAGAGAACG